rnacentral:misc_RNA from 1 species
UCCGAGUUGACCCCGGCAGUCUCCUAUGAGUCCCCACCAUUACGUGCUGGCAACAUAGAACGAGGGUUGCGCUCGUUGCGGGACUUAACCCAACAUCUCACGACACGAGCUGACGACAGCCAUGCACCACCUGUAUGGAGCCCAAAAGGACCUCACAUCUCUGUGAGUUUUCUCCAUAUGUCAAACCCAGGUAAGGUGGGGAUGACGUUUGAGAGUACGUCC